UUACGCAAAUCUCUCAGACGCAUUUUAUUGAUAAGUAUUCGCUUUUCGUUUGGCGAUUUAUUACAUAAUUUUAAAGCUCGGUCUACAUAAAAGCGAAGGGGAUAUUAGUUGAUUAUUUUCUGCUUAGAUAAGACAAUAUGUGGAUUCGAACUGGCUGACGUCCAAGUACACAGGAGAUUGUUGCAGAGCCCAAGCACGGCUUCAAAGUUUGCGGCUUCAAAUUCGGUAAUUAAGUUAACUCCAAUGGGAUCGAACACGGAGCCUCCAGUGUAGCAGUCCGGCAUGAUGACCAUUAGGCCACGGAAGUCAAGUCAAUGCGAAAGUUUAAGAGUGUGUAUGUACAGCAACAUGGAUAGACCAAGUGCCUCCGGCCGAGGAACUUCGACAUCAUCAA